rnacentral:lncRNA from 1 species
GGAAGGUGCAUGUUGUUGUGGUCUGGGAUGCUGCCAGGUAGCUCUAGGUCAAGAUCCACUGCAAGAUGCUAUGUGCUUGUAUGGGUACUUUCCUGCUGGACUGAGAGGAUGUUGCUGCCAGACAAGCAUGGCAUAGCAGCCUGUUCAUGCCCAUUGGGAAAUCACAAUGAUUGGAUUCAGCACCCAGCAGGUACUGGGGCUCUGUGUGCUCCCCAUCCAGUGCAAGGCUCCGUGCGCCCCAUGUCGCUGCUCUGCCUUCAGUGCAGAUGCAGCUCUGGCUCAUUUGUGCUCGCUGAGCACCCGUGGGUGCAAUGCUGUGCACCCAAGGGUUGCUGCUGCAUGGUGUGGAGCCUGAGGGCUGCUUCCCCUGCAGAGGGAGGUGCUCCUUGCCUUAUGCUCUGCAAGGAGGGGAAGUGGGAAGGAUUUAAGGUACCUCAAAGAAGAACCGG